rnacentral:lncRNA from 1 species
CCACUGUGGAAAGGAGGGGCAUUGGACGAGGAAUUGCAGGUUAUACCUUGCAAGUCUUAAGGACAAGCCACAAGGUAUGGUUUAUGUUUUUAUCUUCAAUUCUAAAUGUUAGAUCUUCUAAAUAUUUAUAUUUGAUAUAAAGAGCUAAUCACUUAGAUAAUUGUAUAUAGGUGGAGAAGCCAAGUAGAAGAUGAACAAGCAAGGAAAAUGUGGUGAAGGGUUCGGCCACUAUAUUUUUGCUUACUACUUAGGAAGUUUGUUAGGCAUUAAAGAUAGUCUUUAAACUUUCUUAUUUUGUUAGGAACUUAUUAUGUGGCUUCAUAUGAUGGAAGAUCACUAUUAUUGCCUAAAUGUAUAAAGGUAUUUAUAUUAGUCUCUAAAUGUAUAGAGCUAAUACUUUUUGUAUUAAACAUUAUGAGUGUUUGAAAUAUCAUAUUAAUGUAAUGUGAAGAAUGCCUUUUUUCAAAUAUACUAUUUCCUUAAAGUAGUGUUAUGAAUUGAAGAUUGUCUUGUUGUAUCCUAGAUGAGAUACAAGAGUUAUAUCACUUAUUGUAAUGUGAUAACCAAACUUUAGAUUUAUCAAUUAUGGAUAGAUCUCACAUGUAGGACAUAAAAGGAUACAAUGAAUCUUUAGAUUUGGUUCCAUUUGUCUACCUAUGAGUUCUAUAUGAAUUGACAAAAGUCUAGAGAAUCCUUUCUUGAAGAAAAGGAAGAUUACAUUAUAAUGAUAUAAGUAAUAAGAAAAACGUUUCUUAUAUGGUUGUCACUUGAAACACAAUGAUCAAGAUCACUCUUUAUUCAAUUAGUAAUUUAGAACAACUAAUUGGGCAAUUUUAAAAGGAUUUUAAAAUGUCAAUUGUGUUAGUGAUUAAACCAAGAAAGAAGUGUCUAAAUCUAUAAAAUGUUUAAAGACUUUAGUCACUUAAUAACAAGACAUUAACUUAGUGAAGAUUGAAACAAAUAAGCUUGAAAUGUUUUAAAGCUACUACACAAUGUCUUCUUCCAAUAUACUCCACUUUUAUACAUUUUGAAUGUAUGAAAUGAUUUCUCAUUAAAGUCAUGAGAAAUAGUGGGAGGUGUGAAAAUGGAUAUAAACUUGAAUGUGAUUGGUUUAUAGUUGUCUAAAGAAUAAUAGUACUAGACUAUUAUUAAAAGUUUGUAAUUUUAAUUGGUAAGAGGACUCAAGCUCUUCAAACGUUAAAAUUCUAUGUUGUGUGACAUUCUAAAGAAUAGUCUUUGAAUGUUGGUUUCGUCAACCUAGCAUAAAAUGGUUAUAUGUUGGGAGUUGUCCAUCAUUCUCUUUUAUGAGAAUAAGCUAAAUAACUAAGCAUAUGGACACGUUGAUGAAACAAAAGGGAAAUAGUUUCAAAAUGAGUCACAACAUAUGGUUUAACAACAAGACAAUCGAAAUUCAACAUCUCAUGUAACAAUAUUGCUCUAUGUAGUUUUGAUAAAGAAUUAUAUCAACCACCUAGAAGGAAUGGUUGAGUUUCUAUAUCCUUAGUAGGAGCCAUGCUUCCACUAAAGACUUGGAUAAUUCUUAUAUGACUACAUUAAAGGUCUUAGUAUGGCUAAAACUUGAAGUAUGGUGUAUGACACCAUAUAAUUUAAAUGAAUAGACUUAAUGAAACAAGUCACACAUUUCAAAAGGAAUUCUUUUGUGUGUGAUUCAUUUAAGUAGUGGGAGCAAUAUGCAUUCGAAUCAAGAAAAUAUAAUUGUUAUUUUGAAUGAAUGCUAAGUUACAACAAGGCCAGUGGGAGUGAUGUCAUAAUUUGAGCAACAAGAUGUGAAUAAAGUCUAUUCGAUAGACUUGAUAAAACAUAGAUGUUACUCGAGAAAUGACAAAACAUGACAUGGUCAAUUUUGAAGUAUAGACUUGAAAUUGGACUUAUUGAUAUAGCAAGGCUAUCUCAAUAAUGUUAUAUGGGAAUUAAAUCUCAAAUGUUGUGGAUUUAAGAAAACAUUUUCCUAUGUGAUAGGAAAUCACUUUCAUAACCCUUAUAAUGAAUGUGUCACAAAAUCACAAGAGGGACACAUGUAUGGACUUGUGAAGUAGGUAUCCAAAAGUGAAGAACCACAGGGGUUGUCACUAUAAGAUAUUACUAAAUCCCAAGAUCAGGACCAAAGCAACUGAAAGAGUAUUAUUGCCUUUAAAGAAAGAAACAUCAGAGUGGGACUCUGGAAGCGUGCAUUCACUUAGGUUGUUAACCAAAGUGAAAAUAAGCCAUUUUAACAAAUGGAACUUCAUAAUGGAUGAAGUACUAAUCAUAUGAAUGAUUGUUAGUAUUGUACUACAAUGGUCUCAAGGUUGGAGCAAAGUUUGUAUAAGGUAUACAAACGAAAUAUAUGACGAUAUAUUGUUUUAGAAACUGCUUCAAAUGGUGCUUUGAAUGAAGGGGUUCUUAUAGAACCAAUGAUUGAAUCCAAACCAUAAGGU